rnacentral:rRNA from 1 species
CCUACGGGCGGCAGCAGUGGGGAAUCUUGGGCAAUGGGCGCAAGCCUGACCCAGCAACGCCGCGUGAAGGAAGAAGGCUUUCGGGUUGUAAACUUCUUUUAAGAGGGAAGAGCAGAAGACGGUACCUCUUGAAUAAGCCACGGCUAACUACGUGCCAGCAGCCGCGGUAAUACGUAGGUGGCAAGCGUUGUCCGGAUUUACUGGGAGUAAAGGGCGGGUAGCCGGGCUGACAAGUCAGAUGUGAAAGCCCAUGGCUUAACCAUGGAACUGCUUUGGAAACUGUGCAGCUAGAGUGCAGGAGAGGUAAGCGGAAUUCCUAGUGUAGCGGUGAAAUGCGUAGAUAUUAGGAGGAACACCAGUGGCGAAGGCGGCUUACUGGACUGUAACUGACGUUGAGGCUCGAAAGCGUGGGGAGCAAACAGGAUUAGAUACCCCAGUAGUC